UACGGGGGGGGCAAGCGUUGUUCGGAAUUACUGGGCGUAAAGGGCUCGUAGGCGGCCAACUAAGUCAGACGUGAAAUCCCUCGGCUUAACCGGGGAACGGCGUCUGAUACUGGAUGGCUUGAAUCCGGGAGAGGGAUGCGGAAUUCCAGGUGUAGCGGUGAAAUGCGUAGAUAUCUGGAGGAACACCGGUGGCGAAGGCGGCAUCCUGGACCGGCAUUGACGCUGAGGAGCGAAAGCCAGGGGAACAAACGGG
rnacentral:rRNA from 1 species